rnacentral:lncRNA from 1 species
AGUCCAAAAGUUAGCUGCUUCAACCAUCAUGAAAGGUACAGAAACUCUAGGAUGAAUACACUUAGUAUUUUUUAUUAUUUAUUUAUUUAUUUUUUAGACGGAGUCUCACUCUGUCUGUCCCCCAGGCUGGAGUGCAGUAGUGCAAUCUCGGCUCACUGCAACCCCCACCUCCCGGGUUGAAGCAAUUCUCCUGCUUCAGCCUCUCAAGUAGCUGAGAUUACAGUACACUUUGUACUUUAAUAUGCAAACUGCCUGCCUGCUCCAGAGAAGCAGCCUUUGUUCCUCAGUUCAUCGCAACACUCAGCCUGUCAGUCAGGUUGUGGGAUCCCUCCUAUCCAGGAACUGUAUGCUGUUGUCCCGGUUCUGACACUUUCCCUCUGAGUCCUUGGACACCUUACCUAACCUCUUGGAAGCUCCUGUCUGUGAAGGGUGUGCACAGAGAGCUUCGGUAGCCUGCGAAGCAGCCAUUUUCACUUCCACGGAGCAGAUGCUGGCCUGGGUGCUGGAAUAUGGAAAUGAGGAAGAUCCUGCCUGAGGAUUUCAUGACAGUGCUGCGAUUACCGACGUGAGCCACUGUGCCCAGCCUCACUUUAAAAAAAAAAAAAGGUUAUGAAGCAUCUCAACACAAGACCUCCUUUGCUCAUCACAACCACCCAGUGAAGCAGGCAAGACAACAGAAACUCCCCACCUGUGAUAGAUGUGAGGCCUGAAGUCUCCCACAUACCCACGGCAGAUGCAACGCACAGCGGUGACCAAUGGUGAAGGAUCUAAAACCUGAAAAGAGGCCAAAUGAUUCCUCAAAACCACGCAAGUACGAAGUAGCAGAGCGGAUCUCAAAUCCAGGUUGGUUUCCUUUUUACAACUGCCCAAGUCAUGAGUUCAUAGGGCCUGGAUGGCUGUACCGGAUUGCUCUCCAGCUGGUCUCUCUGCAUCCAGAAAUUUCUACAACCUACUGGGGUAAAAUCUUUCUCAACCCUGCUUUUCAUCAUCACAUCUUAAAUAUCUCGAGUUGGUUCCCUAUUGCCAAAAAAAAUCCAUUGUCCAUGUAGGGUUCUUCUGCCGAAACGAGGAAAGAGUGAGUUAAAUGUUGGUAGGUGAUAUAGAGAUAGUAAUUAGGCAAUAUAAUUCGAUGUUGUUGAAAGAGCUGAGCUAUGAAAUGCAUUGUGAUAAAGGGGCUGCCUGUGUAAGUAAAUGGGUAUAAUGAGGUGUAAAACUCCCUUUCUCUCUCUCUUUCUGCUUCAUAAGCCUUUCUGCUUCUCAAGUCCAGACCUGCUGUUUUUGGGGUUUCCUUCCAAUUUUUUUGCUGCUUCCCUGGGGCCUUGGCUCUUGGGCCUGCUGCCUCUUCCCACUCUACACCUUUGGAUUCCUUAUCUUUGGCUCCACCUUAUUGCUCCAUUCUCCAAAGACAAAUCCACAAGGCAUAGGAUUUUACAGAAUAUGGGGUUACAGAAACAGCAUAGGGAAGUGUAAAAGCCUAGAAGCUUCUUACAGACGCAGCCCCUUGUCUGUAGCUCCUGACUCCCACUUAAAUGUCUGUUGGAAGCACCCUGGGGUAGCAGAACCCAGCUCAGAAGAUGGGGCUUAUCCACCAUGCCUUUUCCUAACCUGACACCCACCCAGAUAAUCUUUUCAAUAUGCAAACUAGAGCGUAUCACCCCCUGCUCAGAGCCUUUCUGUGACCUCCCAUUUUGCUUCCCAGGACUCCUUGCUCCUUAGCCAGGUCUCCAGGUCCUCCGUGAUCAGGUCUCUGCUCUUCUGCAGCCUCAUCUCUGCCAUUCUUCACCUUUUGUGCUCCAACCCAAUCUGGUUUUCUUCUCAUGCUUUGAACACCCCAAGUCUGUCUGCUUCAGGAGCUUCGUACUGGCUAAUCAUUCACCACAGCAUACUCCCAUCUAUACGGCUGGCUCUUAUAUUAUGGGUCUCAGCUAAAAUGUCAUCCCUUCAAAGAGACCUUCUUGGACCACCCCCGCCAUUCUCUAUCCUAUUUCUCUCUUUUAUUUUCUUUGAAGCACUUACCCACUUUCAGAAACUAUCUGGCUUGCUCAUGUGUUUGUCUCUAGAUUGUCUACUUCCCCUCCUAGACUGUACUCUCCACAAGAGAGCAAAGCUGUGUCUGUUGCAUUCACUGUUGUCUUCCCAGAAGCAAGCAGCAUGCUGGAGACCCUCAAAUACAUGUGAAAUGAAGGGACACCUUGUGUUAUUUCACCUGUUUCCACCUGGUUCCCAAGUGGCAAGCUUGCAUUGAGGUUACAAAGUGGCAAAGCUGGGAUAUCACAUGAUGUCACCAUGAUGCUAUAUGAAAUGUAACAUUAAUUGAGUACCUAUGUGACCAGUUCUUUAAUUCUGUAAGUGAACUCUCAAAAAACCCUAGGUAAGUAUUAUCAACUCGAACUUUAACGGAUGAGGAAACUGGAAUUUUUUAAAAAAUGACUUAACCAAACAUCACAGAGCUGUAAACCAGGAUUUGAAUGGGUGAGCUGCACUCAGCCUUCAUCUCAAGUCAGUUUGCCUCUUUCUCCAAGAAGCCACAGUUGAUCCUGACCACAUCACAUAUGAGUUGCCUGGAUUGCAGUCAUUCAUUCACUAAGCAUCUUUUAGGAGGUCACAUGCCAGGCACCGUGUUAGGUAAUGAUUUCUCCAAGUCACAGGAGCCGUGGUUCUGACUUUAGAAAGUUUCUCAUCUGAUGGGAGGGCAGGCAAGUAAAUCAGUAAGGGUGGUCCCUGUCGGGACACUGGUUGAGAAAUACCCAGGAACACUCUGAUUGAGAAAUACCCAAAGUGCAAAGUGACAGGGACUAGAGGCAUCUCCACUGGACCAGAGAGCUCUGGAUUCGUCUUGAGCUAAGUCUCUGGAGGUAGGUGUCAGCUACAAGGAGAAAAGCUGUAUAUUUUGAGAUAUGGGAUGCAGGGCCUUUUAGUUCCAUAAAUAAGAGAACUAUGGUGUGAAUACCACAUGCCCUGGGCUGAACUAAGUGGGCUCUAGGGGAAGGUAUACUGGGCAGGGAGUUUGGAGAACUGGUUUCUGUCUAAUCCUUCUCUAACUCUGUGACCUUGAAUGCAUCAUUUCCCCUCUGAGUCUCAGAUUCUCUUUCUGGCUGGCAUUUAAUGAAACCUAAAUAUUCUAGACCUUCUACUUGUUCCAUAAGUGCUCAGUCCUACACUCACUCUCCUCUGGCACCAAUAUACUGAUUACUCAUUUUAUGCCCAGCAGAGCACUGCGUGUUUUGAAAUAUACAAAUAGUGGGAAACGAAAUCUUUGUUCUGGAUGCAGUUAUAAUUUGGAAAGCGAGGAAAUAAAUUAUAACAAGGGGAAAAAACAGUUUGUAGGGUUGCCGUGAGGAGUAAAUGAGCUGUUGCAUGGGAAGCACUUAGCAUGGGGCCUGAUAAAUAGUAAGCCCUUGGUAAUAAUUACAUCUUCCGUGAUGCUAGACACAGAGGGAUUGAAAUGCAUAACAAUAGAGAUGAAACACGAAGAGUGAUAAAUGAAGAUUGAGUGUGCACACCUUCUGGAGGAGCCCUGAUUGAGUAUUUUAAAAUACUACUAAAGUCAUGCCGUGUGACUUCUGAAGCUAGCUCCUAAGAAGUCCUUGCAGCUUCUGCCUGCGACUCUUAGAACACUUGCUUUGAAGGAUGCCAGAUGCUGUCUUAAAAGUCUGAGCACUCUGAAACCAUCAUGCUGUGAGGAAGCCCAAGCUAACCACAUGGGCAAAAAAGAUGCCCUCUGACUGCCACCAUUUGAGACACUCUAAUUAAGAACUGCCUCAUUGAGCCCAUGAGGCCCUGUGAAUGAUAAUAAUAAAUUGUUUUUAACCACUAUGUUUUUGGAUUUGUUAUAAGUUUAUAGAUAACAAGAAAAAGUUAUAUUAGCAUGGUAAUAAAAUUAUGGAUAUGUGUAAGUUUGGUGUUUUGUUUCUUUUUUUUUUUUACACUAAGCCUAUAUUACUGUUGUAAUUUAGGAAAUCACUUGUUUUCCUCCAGCACUUCAAUGUAAGAGUGGCACUACUUAGAAUGUACUUCUUAAGAUAUGGCU